UACGUAGGGUGCGAGCGUUGUCCGGGAAUUAUUGGGCGUAAAGGGCUCGUAGGCGGUCUGUUGCGUCGGGAGUGAAAACUCAGGGCUUAACCCUGAGCCUGCUUCCGAUACGGGCAGACUAGAGGUAUGCAGGGGAGAACGGAAUUCCUGGUGUAGCGGUGAAAUGCGCAGAUAUCAGGAGGAACACCGGUGGCGAAGGCGGUUCUCUGGGCAUUACCUGACGCUGAGGAGCGAAAGUGUGGGGAGCGAACAGG
rnacentral:rRNA from 1 species